rnacentral:rRNA from 1 species
CAGUAGCCGCGGUAAUACAGAGGGUGCAAGCGUUAAUCGGAAUUACUGGGCGUAAAGCGCGCGUAGGUGGUUUGUUAAGUUGGAUGUGAAAUCCCCGGGCUCAACCUGGGAACUGCAUCCAAAACUGGCAAGCUAGAGUAUGGUAGAGGGUGGUGGAAUUUCCUGUGUAGCGGUGAAAUGCGUAGAUAUAGGAAGGAACACCAGUGGCGAAGGCGACCACCUGGACUGAUACUGACACUGAGGUGCGAAAGCGUGGGGAGCAAACAGGAUUAGAUACCCCUGUAGUCCCUGUCUCUUAUAC